GGGUUGUGAGGUUAAGCGACUAAGCGUACACGGUGGAUGCCCUGGCAGUCAGAGGCGAUGAAGGACGUGCUAAUCUGCGAUAAGCGUCGGUAAGGUGAUAUGAACCGUUAUAACCGGCGAUUUCCGAAUGGGGAAACCCAGUGUGAUUCGUCACACUAUCAUUAACUGAAUCCAUAGGUUAAUGAGGCGAACCGGGGGAACUGAAACAUCUAAGUACCCCGAGGAAAAGAAAUCAACCGAGAUUCCCCCAGUAGCGGCGAGCGAACGGGGAGCAGCCCAGAGCCUGAAUCAGUGUGUGUGUUAGUGGAAGCGUCUGGAAAGGCGCGCGAUACAGGGUGACAGCCCCGUACACAAAAAUGCACAUGCUGUGAGCUCGAUGAGUAGGGCGGGACACGUGGUAUCCUGUCUGAAUAUGGGGGGACCAUCCUCCAAGGCUAAAUACUCCUGACUGACCGAUAGUGAACCAGUACCGUGAGGGAAAGGCGAAAAGAACCCCGGCGAGGGGAGUGAAAAAGAACCUGAAACCGUGUACGUACAAGCAGUGGGAGCACGCUUAGGCGUGUGACUGCGUACCUUUUGUAUAAUGGGUCAGCGACUUAUAUUCUGUAGCAAGGUUAACCGAAUAGGGGAGCCGAAGGGAAACCGAGUCUUAACUGGGCGUUAAGUUGCAGGGUAUAGACCCGAAACCCGGUGAUCUAGCCAUGGGCAGGUUGAAGGUUGGGUAACACUAACUGGAGGACCGAACCGACUAAUGUUGAAAAAUUAGCGGAUGACUUGUGGCUGGGGGUGAAAGGCCAAUCAAACCGGGAGAUAGCUGGUUCUCCCCGAAAGCUAUUUAGGUAGCGCCUCGUGAAUUCAUCUCCGGGGGUAGAGCACUGUUUCGGCAAGGGGGUCAUCCCGACUUACCAACCCGAUGCAAACUGCGAAUACCGGAGAAUGUUAUCACGGGAGACACACGGCGGGUGCUAACGUCCGUCGUGAAGAGGGAAACAACCCAGACCGCCAGCUAAGGUCCCAAAGUCAUGGUUAAGUGGGAAACGAUGUGGGAAGGCCCAGACAGCCAGGAUGUUGGCUUAGAAGCAGCCAUCAUUUAAAGAAAGCGUAAUAGCUCACUGGUCGAGUCGGCCUGCGCGGAAGAUGUAACGGGGCUAAACCAUGCACCGAAGCUGCGGCAGCGACGCUUAUGCGUUGUUGGGUA
rnacentral:rRNA from 1 species